rnacentral:lncRNA from 1 species
CACGGAGCCAUGCACGGAGCAAUGUGCUCAGCAAUGCACGGAGCAAUGUGCUCAGCAAUGCACGGAGCAAUGUGCUCAGCAAUGCCCAGAGCAAUGCAUGGAGCAAGGUGCAGAGCAAUGCCCUGAGCAAUAUGCAGAGCAAUGUCUGGAGCAAUGCCUGGAGCAAUGCAAUGUGCACAGCAAUGCCCAGAGUAAUGCACGGUGUAGAGCAAUGCACUGAGCAGUGCACAGAGCAGUGCAUGGAGCAAUGCCUGGAGCAGUGUGCACAGUAAUGCACGGUGCAGAGCAAUGCACAGAGCAAUGCAUGGAGUAAUGCACAGAGCAAGGCACAGAGCAAUGCCCUGAGCAAUGCAAUGUGCACGGCAAUGCCCAGAGUAAUGCACGGUGCAGAGCAAUGCACGGAGCAGUGCAUGGAGCAGUGCAAUGUGCACAGCAAUGCCUGGAGCAAUGUGCACAGCAAUGCCCAGAGCAAUGCACGGUACAGAGCAAUGCCCAGAGCAAUGCACUGAGCAAUGCACAGGGCAGUGCAUGGAGCAAUGCCUGGAGCAGUGUGCACAGUAAUGCACGGUGCAGAGCAAUGUCUGGAGCAAUGCAAUGUGCACAGCAAUGCAUGGAGCAAGGCGCAGAGCAAUGUCUGGAGCAAUGCAAUGUGCACAGCAAUGCCCAGAGCAAUGCACGGUGCAAUGCCCGGCACAGAGCAAUGCCCGGCACAGAGCAAUGCAUGCAUGGUGCAGAGCAAUGCCCAGCACAGAGCAAUGCAUGGUGCAGAGCAAUGCCCAGCACAGAGCAACACAUGGUACAGAGCAAUGCCCAGCACAGAGCAAUGCAUGGUGCAGAGCAAUGCCCAGCGUGGAGCAAUGCAUGCAUGGCACAGAGCAAUGCAUGCANACAGAGCAAUGCCCAGCACAGAGCAAUGCAUGGUAUGGAGCAGUGCAUGGCACAGAGCAAUGCAUGCAUGGUACAGAGCAAUGCAUGGUACGGAGCAAUGCCCAGCACAGAGCAAUGCAUGCAUGGUGCAGAGCAAUGCCCAGCACAGAGCAAUGCAUGCAUGGUGCAGAGCAAUGCCCAGCACAGAGCAAUGCAUGCAUGGUGCAGAGCAAUGCUUGGAGCAAUGCCCAGCAGAGAGCAACGCUUGGAGCAAUGCCCAGCACGGAGCAAUGCUUGGAGCAAUGCCCAGCACGGAGCCAAGCUUGGAGCAAUGCCCAGCACGGAGCCAAGCUUGGAGCAAUGCCCAGCACAGAGCAACGCUUGGAGCAAUGCCCAGCGUGGCGCGCACCGUUGCCAGGUUGAGCUGUGCUCUGUUGUGCUGUGUUGUGCUGUGCUGUGUUGUGCUGUGCACUGUUGUGCUGUGCUGUGUUGCACUGUGCUGUGCAGGAGGAGCAGCUGGAGCGAGGCCAGGAGCCGCCCUGCUCGGAGCAGAACCUUACUCAGAGAUUCCGUGGGGCUGACGCCGUGCGAUGAAAGGGAGCAGCAGCGUCCUCCCCCCCACA